UGAUAUGGCAAACAAUAUCCCCCUCUAUUAAUUACUUAGCAUAUAAGCCAUAAGUGAUUAUGACAUGGAUUUACCUUGAGAACCGCCCUAAAUGCCACAUUGCUCAAAACAAUUCGAACUAUAAACAAAUGACACUAAACGUGGAUGAUUUACCAAAAGUCUUACCAUCUCCCAAAUAAAAACAAUUUCUCUUUUUCUUAUUUUAUUUAUUUCUUUGAAAAUAUCAGUGUGAGGAAGGGCCUUUGCCUUGCUAUAUAUUUCACCACUUUGGUAAAAGACUCAUCUCAUCUCUUUCUCUAUGCUUUUCACUAUAUAUUUCUCUCACUCACUCUCUUUCUCAACUAGCUAUAGCUCAAUUUCACCUCAUAUGGUUUUUUGAAGAGAAAGUUUGAAGGGAAGAUAAAAGAGUUGUUGGUCUGUGUUUCUCUAGCUACCUAAAAGCCAGGAAAUUUUGUGGUUGAGCGAGAAUGUGCUUGACGAAUAAUGAUAUGUUUUCUAAGGAGAAGGCACUAUUAUAUUUCCCUCUCUCAAUGAGAAAUAUUAAUAAUAAUAAUAUUGACAAUCAAAAUGAUACUGCUCCACUAGAACUGGGAUCAGUAGUUCACUCCAAUUUUAAUAAAGCCAACAACAAAAUAAUAGUAUUGGAUGAUGGUGAUGAUGAAGCUCUCAUCUUCAAAGAUUU